CGUGCUACGGAGGUCUCCUCGAAGGGGGGGAUCUACGUCUGCCCACCCUUGGUUACCUGACCUGUUGCUUUGGCGGGCCUGUCGCGAGGCGGCCUGGAAAACUUGAGUUUUUGGGCUCGUGUCCGCCAGAGUUUCACUAAAUUCUGGAUAAAAAGGUUGUGCUGUCUGAGCGUGCAAGCGCAAAUUUAUACAAAACUUUCAACAACGGAUCUCUUGGUUCCGGCAUCGAUGAAGAACGCAGCGAAAUGCGAUAAGUAAUGUGAAUUGCAGAAUUCCGUGAAUCAUCGAAUCUUUGAACGCAUAUUGCGCCCUCUGGUAUUCCGGAGGGUAUGCCUGUCCGAGCGUCAUUUUCACUUUCAAGCACGGCUUGUGUUGGGCUCUUGUUCCUUAUAGGACAGGCCUGAAAUGCAGCAGCAGUACCUUAAUCUGGUGCCCGAGUGUAUGGGGCUUUGUCACACGCUCCGGUGGCCUAGGUUGGUACUCGCUUUUUGACAGGGGGGUUUUUUUUUUGUAAAUCCACCCAUUCCAGUUGGCCUCGGAUCAGGUAGGGAUACCCGCUGAACUUAAGCAUAUCAAUAAGCGGAGGAAAAGAAACCAACAGGGAUUGCCUCAGUAACGGCGAGUGAAGCGGCAAAAGCUCAAAUUUGAAAUCUGGCUUCCAAGUCUGGAGCCCGAGUUGUAAUUUGCAGAGGAUGCUUUGGGUGUGGCUGCGGUCUAAGUUCCCUGGAACGGGGCGUCAUAGAGGGUGAGAAUCCCGUCUGGGACCGCUGGCUCCGCCCGUGUAAAGCUCCUUCGACGAGUCGAGUUGUUUGGGAAUGCAGCUCUAAAUGGGUGGUAAAUUUCAUCUAAAGCUAAAUAUUGGCCGGAGACCGAUAGCGCACAAGUAGAGUGAUCGAAAGAUGAAAAGCACUUUGAAAAGAGAGUUAAACAGCAUGUGAAAUUGUUGAAAGGGAAGCGCUUGCGACCAGACUCGCUCGCAGAGGCUCAGCCGGCAUGCUUUGGCGGUGCAUUCUUCUGCGGUCGGGCCAGCGUCGGUUCUGACGGUUGGUUAAAGGCCUCCGGAAUGUGUCGUCCUUCGGGGCGGCCUUACAGCCGGGGGUGCAAUGCGACCUGUCGGGACUGAGGA
rnacentral:rRNA from 1 species